rnacentral:rRNA from 1 species
GAGAGAGACAUGCGCGCAUAUCAAUAAGCGGAGGAAAAGAAACUAACUAGGAUUCCCUCAGUAACGGCGAGUGAAGCGGGAAGAGCUCAAAUUUGAAAUCUUCAAGGUUCUACCUUGACGAAUUGUAGUUUAAAGAAGUGUUUUCUGUUAGUGGAGUUUGGCUAAAAGUUCUUUGGAAUAGGACAUCAUAGAGGGUGAGAAUCCCGUAUUUGACCAUUAUUUCCAGCUUUGUGAUACACUUUCAAAGAGUCGGAUUGUUUGGGAAUGCAGUCCAAAAUGGGUGGUAAAUUUCAUCUAAAGCUAAAUAUUGGCGAGAGACCGAUAGCGAACAAGUACCGUGAGGGAAAGAUGAAAAGAACUUCGAAAAGAGAGUUAAACAGUACGUGAAAUUGUCAAAAGGGAAGCGUUUGACACCAGUGUUGUUUUCUCGAAAAUCAAUUAAAAAUGGCUAGGAUUUUGUGUUGUAUUGACUUUAUCAGCUUUCUGCACUUUUUUCUUGUCUUUUUUAAUGCACUUUUCGUUUAACAAGUCAACAUCAACUUUCUUUUGUUGUAAAAGGGUCAUUGGAAGGUGGCUUUCUUUUCGGAGAAAGUGUUUAUAGCCUUUGAUCUCUGCAACCGGAGAGACUGAGGUCUGCAGCGUAGACUCUUCGGGGUUAGAUACAUUUGUGCUAAGCUAUAGCUUUUCAUAGACAACUUGUUGACUAUGUUUAGUCUUGUGGCUUACUCGCUUAUGCUAUUAUACCUACGCUUAGGAUGUUGACAGCAGUAUAGACUGU